AAAUUGAAGAGUUUGAUCAUGGCUCAGAUUGAACGCUGGCGGCAGGCCUAACACAUGCAAGUCGAGCGGUAACACAGAGAGCUUGCUCUCGGGUGACGAGCGGCGGACGGGUGAGUAAUGUCUGGGAAACUGCCUGAUGGAGGGGGAUAACUACUGGAAACGGUAGCUAAUACCGCAUAACGUCGCAAGACCAAAGUGGGGGACCUUCGGGCCUCAUGCCAUCAGAUGUGCCCAGAUGGGAUUAGCUAGUAGGUGGGGUAAUGGCUCACCUAGGCGACGAUCCCUAGCUGGUCUGAGAGGAUGACCAGCCACACUGGAACUGAGACACGGUCCAGACUCCUACGGGAGGCAGCAGUGGGGAAUAUUGCACAAUGGGCGCAAGCCUGAUGCAGCCAUGCCGCGUGUAUGAAGAAGGCCUUCGGGUUGUAAAGUACUUUCAGCGAGGAGGAAGGC
rnacentral:rRNA from 1 species